AACAAGAGCCCAGACUCCGCAUGUCAAAAACAAAACGAACGAUUUCAGGCCAGCAACGCAGGAAUGGCAUCCUGAAUCUCACCCAAAACCAAUACAAUUCAUCACAUGUGUAUUUACACAAGAAACUCACAUUGAUUUCUGUGCACAAAGAGUUGGCUACCUGGAAUCAAAAGGAAGUAUGAGUCAUGACGAUCUCAGAGGGGCUGUAAAGGGAAAAGAAGUGUCUGGCCAUGUUAUGACCGCGAGUCUGCUGAGAUCACGGUCAGGGAGCAAAGAGAAUGGGGAGGAAGAAUUGACACAUCUGAAGGAGAGAUUGAAUAAAGACUGAGGAAAGUCAACGACCGGUCCUGUACCACGUCAAUCACCAAUAGGGGGAGGGGCUACAUACAAGAAACAUGCUGAACAGCUUCUGUGCUGUUUAACCGUCCAGCUGAAAGGAUUGUGCAGACUGUGUCUCAGCCAUUUUUGCCUUGGAACUUCUGCUCUCUCUUUUCUUACUCACAUUCUUCACUUCCAUUUUCCACAUCCUCUUUAACCGUACUCAGCUAUCUCUUUCCCCAUCUCUCUUUCCUUCCCUCUUUCCCUUCUCUCCUCAGGUGAACUCUCCUUCUGCUUCGUAAUAUUGAUACGGAUUUGUGGUCAGUUUGCAUUAUCCCUUGUAAUGGUUAAUGUCAGGAGGGGAAGCUAAUUCUAGAUUUUACCUACGGGAGACUUCACUCACAUUUAAUCAUGAUGGUUGAUUCCAUCAUUUCCCAGGUGCCUCAUGGGGACUGGUGUCUCUGCCCUGUCAUCUGGACCAGGGGGAAGCUUUAGACAGGGACACAGUGCUUUGAUCUAGUUGGGGACUGUUUACUGAGGAGGACAUAGCGUUCCGCCCUGUGUCACUCAAUGUAAUUACAGAGACAACCAAUUCUAAAGACAGUGAACUCAAACACCGUAAACACUGGCCAACACUGAAAAACAGGAAUGCCAAAACAAGCCAAGAUACGACCCAUGAGAGACAGAGGCGAGAACAAUAUAGACUGUUUACUGACCGUUUUUGGUUCUUGUCCUGUCAUCAGCAUUCUGUGGCCGAUUUCAGCACACUGCAAGGGUUAAAGUAGGCCGGUUCUCUAACUGAGAGUUAACCUAAAAGUAGGGGCGGAGACAUGAGUGGAGCACAGCGUCUUGUUUCCAACCGUGGGGAUGAAAACAGUUGUGGUUGCUGCCAAGAAUCA
rnacentral:lncRNA from 1 species